rfam:Salmo salar isolate Sally breed double haploid chromosome ssa25, whole genome shotgun sequence.
GCUCAGUUGGUAGAGCAUGGUGUUUGCAACACCAGGGUUGUGGGUUCGAUUCCCAC